rnacentral:lncRNA from 1 species
AUGGGAACCACCUGGAGCGCGGGCAGCACAGCCUGGGCCGGACGCCUGCGCGGUUCCUGCGUCCAGCAGUUCUCUCCGCGGCGGCUUUACUCCAGCUCCAUCCUGCCAGACAGCAGGAUGCCCACCUGCCAGCAGGAAACAAGAAGAUUUCUUCCACAUCCAUGCAUAUCGGAAUCUAUGUUUAUGUGCGCCAACAUCCAACUCGCUCUCCGUCUUCUGCAGCAGUGUCUACACACAGCGCAGUCCUCAAACACCUACACCUACCUGCUAACCCAAGUGGUGCCCCUGUGGUCUGCCUUCGGAUCCCUCCAGUCCCAGGCACAUCCUUUCUUCACCUCUGUUUUCCAUCAUGACCCAUGGAAAUUCUGCUUUUCUAAUUGCUCAGGCUAAGAAUCUUGAAUUCAUUCUCUACUCCCCCCACACACACUUCUAAUGCAUCAGCAGAAUUGAUUGAGCCUGUUUUAUAUUUAUGUAGACUCUAUCUAGGUCUCCUCUACUGCCCACCACUGGCAAGAAAGGCCCUUGGGCCACCAUCAUCUCUGCGCGGGUUGUGAAGAAAGCCUCUUCACUGAUCUCUGUGCUUUUGCCUUGAUCUCUCUUUCCUCCCACUGUAACGAGCCUUCAAAAUUAUGGCUUAGGCCAUUCAUUCCUCACCAAGGCCUCUGAGGGCUUCCAAUCUUAUUCAAAGUCAAACCCAGAGUUUCUAAAUUGGCUAAAGCGAUUCAGGGGGUGUUGGCAUUUUGAAUAAACAGUGUUUUCUCUGUGCAGAAUGUGUCUCAGAUUAAAGAACUUUGAUAUCCCUGCCUGUCUCCAGGGUGAGUAGGGCCCCGUAGCCACUGGACAACCAGAAAUACUCACACAUUUUCAAAUCCUCCUCAAAGUGACAACACAAGCUCCAGUGGAGAAGGAUUUGGGCUUCACACCCACACUUUGUCCUUUGCGCACCACUGUCGCUCCCCUGUGGCUUCCUGUGCCUCUGGGACAGGCUUGCUGCUUGCUCUGGGAGCUAACACUUUGCCGUGGUGCUGCUGUGUUUUUGCCAUCUUCUCUACCUGGGACCUUCUUCCCUCAAGUUGCCUUGGUUCUUUCUUUUAGAUCAUUUUACACAAAGAUCAUCUCAGUGACGUUGCCUGUUCAUAUUCCCUUGCUCUGCCUUGUUUGCAGCAUUAAGCACUUGGCACUGUUAAAUAUACUACGCAAUUUCCUACCAGCAUGGUCAUCAUGACCUAGUGUUUUCCUAGUGUUUUUAAAAUAUAAGCUCCGUCCAGGUGACAUCUAUAUCCUCAGUAUCUAAUGCAGUCCCGGCACAUCUUAGGGGCCCAAUAAAUAGAGAUCAUCAGGUACUACAAAGUAGAAUUAUUCCAUUUAUUAUAUAUCAGCAGAAUUUACUAUCUUAGUUAUUUUCACCUUUUGUAUGUUAGGAAGCUUUCUGAAAAUCCAGAAAAAGCAAUGCAUUGUAUCCCAAGGAAAGUAUGUACUUAUGUGCAUUGUAUACAUAUGCUCAUGUGUGCACAGUUCUCUAUGACCCAACCACGUCCUAUGAAGCUCAUUCACAAACAUGUUAAUUUAUUUUAAUCUUGGCAAGAGAGCCAACGUUUUCUUUUCAUUGUAUCCUUGAAGAUAAGGAAAGAAAACUUGUAAUAGCAUUGGGUGGGUCAGUGACAGGUAACUGUCCAUCCUCUAAAGAUAUUGGAAGACAAGCUUUAAUCUGGAAAGCUAAAGGAGGGCUCUAGUAUCCUGAAACUAGGUCUCUUUCUUUUCCGCUUGUUUACAGCUGGUCCAGAGGGAAGAACUACUGACACUGACGUCAAAUUGCCAGGCUGAAAUCAGGAAGGGAGAGUUCUAGAAUUAAAUCCAGAAGCUGACUAUGACAGGUUGGAAUAAUGGACAGAUAUAAGUGCAAUGAGUCAUAACAGAGACAGAGACAAAUAUGAAAUAAUAUGCGUUUUAAAAAUCACUAUUUGUGGAAGUGCAUAAUGGAUAAGAUGAAACUUUAGCAGGAUUUUGGGGGUUCCAGCUGACUGUGCUCACAGAGAUUUGUAGCUGCUGAAGCAAGGAGUUAAACUUUGAAGCUGCAUAAAUGAAAUUUCAGUGACUAGGAGAUACGUACAGCACAGUGUUCCUCUCCUUUUUUGAAUCAGGCAAUAUUUAUAAUGCUAUGCCUCAUUUUAGGUAGCAAAAGUUUUGGUGGACUGCAACAAAACUGAGAAAUCUUAACUAGAAUGAUGAAGGGAAAACAAACCACAAACCAUAGGUGUUUUACACAUGGAUCUGAAGAGUGCCCAUCUUCAAUAAAAAGCUAAUUGCUCGCAAAUAUACAUAAUUUUGAAUACAUGGUAAUAAAAUUGCAACCUUCGAAAUUGAAAGAGAACAAGAAGUUGAUAGGGAAAAGUACCCUGCCUUUCCCAAGAAUGAUGACAACAAUCAUUUUUGGUUUUCUUCCAGAGAUUACCCACACAUGUAAGCACGUAUGCGUGAGUGUUCCUGGUUUUUUAAUGGCUCCCCUCUUUCAGCAGAAUUACAGGGCUGACUGGGAAAUGUGUGGAAUGUGGAGGAGCAGCAAAGAGGCCACCUGGGGGCUGUGGGAUUUCCAGGUCACCAGGGUGUCUCUCGCCUUCUCCGUAGGGUAGUCUGACCCAGGAUUUGAAAAGUAUUAACCUGUAGCUAUUAAGAAACUUCAACACUUCUGAGUUUAAUCUAAGCAUCUGAAAGGUGGUGGGUGGUCCCUGAUGAUUGUUUCAAGUGCUUUGGAGUUGGAAAAUGCAGCUAAGGAAGAAAGCGAGGAGAAGAGAUGUUUAACAAUUACUGUAUAGUGAGAUUUUUUUCUAUAAAGCACAUUAACACCUUUUUGAAGCUCUGCAGACCAACCCUACUGGAUCUGCCCAGUCUUUUCUCACUUCAUUGUCCAAACUUUAGACUCACUGUGGACAUUUUGAGAGCCUUGGCUCAGAGUGGUCCUCCUUCCUUCCUAAAUCAGCCUUCCUUAUUCUUGAGUAAGAAAAGCUGUUAAUUCGGCAAAGAGUUAAUCCAGUUUAUUACGUUAAAGCAAAGUACAUUAGUAUGAGAGCAACUAGUCAAAAAUCACAGUAUUUGAUAAUAUGUGCUUAAUUCCCAAUCCUGAUUUUUACCAAAUUUCUUACUUGGGGAAAGUUAAUUUCUCUCAGCCUUAAUUUCUUUGCCUUUAAAAUAUUUACGGCUGGAAUUUAUAGGGUUGUUUUGAGAUUAAAUGAUAUGUUAUGGAACCUACCAGGCACACAGUGAACAGAUGUUAGUGUGAUUCUACAACGUAUUGUGAUACCCAAUUAGUAGUCUAUUCAAUGCUAUCUUUUAAGCUGUUUACUAAUUGUUUUAUGUUUUUGGAUAGAUCUUUUCAAGUAGAUAUUAAAUUCUUCAGGGGCA